rfam:Ovis aries breed Texel chromosome 5, whole genome shotgun sequence.
UCUCUGGUGGUACAGUGGUUAAGACUCUGCACUUCCAAUGCAGAGGCCACGGGUUCGAUCCCUGGUAGGGGAA